UAGGGUCCUGCCCAGUCGCCGCUGAUUGGGGAAGAACGUGUUUUUGGUCCCGCCCUGCUUCUUUUGCGACACGUCAAUCAUAUUUCCGAGGGAGACGGAUGUCUCAUUCAGUCUUUGAAUAACACCUGGUCAGCCGCUGUUUGUCCAGCAAAAUUAUUGACUUGACUUACAGUGCUGCACAAACACCAGCAUCCCUUCAUCACUACUGGAAGUCCAUGUCCAUUAUGCAGCUACAUCUACUGUAUUAUCCACUUAACGAUGAGGUCCUGUUUGCAAAAAAUGUUCGGACACACAAUACGGCGACAGAGCGACAGUAAACCACAAAGAGAAAGAAAAGGAGAAAGAAGCGUCUCUAGUCAGGAAGGAGUUAAAGCCAUAAAGAUGUACCUCAGCCCUGACCCUUCACACGCCAAGGAGAUUGGGGAAACAAAAAUCAAUACUCGCUGGCAGGCGAUCUAGCAAGCGGGUGAAUUACAGAGGCCGCACUCCGACCACAGCCACAUGGAGGGAGGCCUUGGAGGCGAGGGACCUUGGGAGUGGAGUUUGAGAUGCGGGGGUCAGCGGUUCAGCCCAGGUCCGCAGUCUGAGGAGCGCCGUAUUUACUGCAAUGGCUCACCGUAAUGAAAAAUAACUCCAGGAGAGCAAGAAAGAAAGAGGGAGAGAGACCAUCUGUGAGUGAGGAUGAGAAGGUGUGUGCGUGUGCGUGUGUGUGUGUGUGUGUGUGUGUGUGCGUGUGUGUGUGUGUGUGUGUGUGUGUGCGUGUGUGUGCGUGUGUGUGCAUGUGUGUGUGUGAGUGUUUUAUUUUUGUCAGCAGGCACUCAAACGAAACCCAGGAAAGAGAGAAUCAGAAAGGUGCAGGAUAGGCCAUUAAACAUAAACACACAGUCUGACAUGUGUAGCAUGGUGGUUAUCUGUUCAUCUUAACCAUCACAACACAGGUCAUGCAACAGAGACGAAUGCUUUUGUUCUGUGCACUAAAAGCUUUAGAUGAGCUUUUCAGUUGUGAACUGGUCCUUUUACAGACAUGAUAGAAGCCAUUUCAUUUAUAGUACAGCUGAGAACAAAAUAAAAAAAUAUUUCAGAUAUUGACAAAAAAAAAACAUAAACGAC